CAGUAUCAAAAUAUAUAUACAAAAAUAACAGCCGUUUGCACUGGGCUGAUUUUUUUACAUAAAAAUACAAAGGGUGGCAGUUCAGAGUGAGAAUAGCCAACAGAGUUUUGUUCUAUUUUACAAACUGAGAGCAGAACAGAUGGGUCACAGGUGAAAUAUCCAAGUGGGUGUUCGGUUACCAUGACUACUAAGGAACAAUGGAUCAAAUCCAUUGUUACCCUUCAGAUGGGGCCCAAUUCUUCACUGCCUUAUCAUUUACACCUGUGCAAAAUGGGUGAGCCACUCUCUAUGGUGCAUAUUCUUCUACUUUAUCCCCUCUAAGGGCCAGGGUGUCUGGGGCUGGCCAGCCCUGUUCAGUUAUCGGACCCAGCUGGGAAGGGGGAAGGUGAUCCCUAUGAAAAGAUUGAGAGAACUCCGCUGUGGGCCCUGAAGCAGGGGGACUGGAGGGAAGGGUGAGCCCUCCUUUCAUCACAGGGGCAACGGGGAAAGCCUGUGGGCGUUAUAGCGCAGGAUGGGCAGAGGAACUGCUUUUGUGGUUGAUAUUUUUGCCUAUAUUUUACGUGCAGGGGAGAGACUGGAGUGUGGCAGUGAGUCCUUCCUGAGGAGGUCGGGAAAUUGAAACUAAGUGAAGGGAAACUGAAGCUGCAGAGAGCUUGAAGCCAGACCAGGAGUGCGUAGAUCUGGGAUUUACAUCAGGACCCUUUGGUGCAAGGUGCUGUACACACAAACAGUUCCAUUAGCUUUUCCAGCUAUGGGUAGGAAUGAAAAUGCUACACAUUUCUGCAGUGCUUUUCAUCUCAGCUUCUUAAAUGGCUUGGCAAGCAUCAAUUACUCUGAGCCUCUGAUCGAGAUUUUUAUUUCUGUAUGAUACAAGAGGGCUCUUCCAAGGACCUGGGUCACCGAAUUGGCAUUUGGACAGCUUGCAUAAAAGCCUUCAGAGGAAUGCCUCAUUUUCCUCACAGUGGUGUGACAGCAGGCAUAGCUGAGCUUCAGGAGUCUCCUGUGAACAGCGGAAUUUGAAUCGGUGACUUUGAGCAUCCACCGCACAGGGUUCUAUCUUAUGAGGUAAGAGUUACUGUAAUGGGCAGUACAAUAGGUGCUUAUCCUCUGUGGACAGAGGUGACAUGAAACACUUGGCCACUCGACCAUCCUUCUGCCUUUAAAAUGUAUUGAAUACCUUGGCUAUGGCACUGGACUGCAACGCAGGAGACUUGUGUCAAAUUUCUAGCUCAUCCCUAGAGUGACAUGGGUAAGUCCCAGAGGUAUGUCUACACUGUAGUUGCAGCACCUGUAGCCAUACCAGAGCUAGCUUUAAUCUAGUUUGGCUCUUAUACCAAUGGUAGUGGAGUCACGGCAGCAUGGGCUAUACGCUCACCUGUACCUUGUCCCUCAGGUCCUGAUCUGUACCAAUGGGGAGGAGAGCACUGCUCUACCUCACAGAGCUGUUGUGAAGACAAAAUCCAUUAGUGACUGAGGUUGCCUAGCUACUAGGGCGAGGAGGAUCCUAUGAGUGCUGAAAUAGAACUUGGGCUGAAAGUAACUAGCAGGAACUAAAGCCUCGUCUACACCUAAAACUUACGUGGACAUAGCGGCGUGGGGGGAAAAAAAAAAUCACUCCUGAGAGAGGUAGUUAAGCCAACUUAAGCUCCAUUGUAGACACCAUUAGGUUCAUCGAUGGAGGAAUUCUUCCGUCGAUGCAACUGCUGCCUCUUGACGAGGUGUAUUUACCACGAUGAUGGAAAAAGCCCUUCUGUUGCUGUGGUAUGUGCUACAGGGGUACGGUGGUGCCGCUGUAGCACUUGCAGUGCUACGCAAAGAUUAAAAUAAAUAGGCCUUAAAAUCCAUUGGUCAGGAUGUUCUCUAUAGCAGCUUUGUUCAUGGGUCUCGUAUUUGUUAGAGAGAGGUACUCUGGGUGUCAAAUUUCCGGCCCAUGGAUAAGUACGUGUGCUAGCUUUGAGCGAGUGCAGUGGCAACGUGGUGGGUUAGACGCCCAACAAACUCUGACUAUAGCCCCAGCUAUAUUGUGUGUAAAGUCUACACGAGCUGGAAAGUACAUCUCCAGAUGCAGUGUAGAUAGACCCUUGUCUGUGUUCCUACAGGCAGUGCUAUCCCCGCUCCGCAGUGUGGAGUCAUGGGAUAUUCUCCCCUAGUAUUAGUUAACUAACACUUUCAGGGUUUACAACUCUGGAACCAGGGACCCCAUGACUUUUUAAAAUGAAAGAAAAUAUAGCUGCACCUCUCGUUGGAACAAGGUGGAGAGACCAAGGCAAGAAACCUGCUUUUCUCCUAGGGAUCUUGGACUUAGAGGUACUAAUAUCACACUGGCAUUUGAAUAUCAGGUCUUGGAUAGCGGGGCAUGGUAAGGUGUCACCCCAAUGACAGGAAGACACAGACUGAAAUACAAAACCAUAUUUUGUUGCAUCUCUCAUGGCUCAGAUCCUAAACUGGUUGAAGCAAAAUGCGGGACUUGCCCUCCAGAGACAUUAGACUGUAAACUCCUUAGUGGCGGGAGCCUGUGUGCUCCAAACGUGGUUGGCUUUUUUGCCACCCCACUUUAACAAUUAAUCAAAGUAUGUACAAGUCAGCAGUGUCUUAGAAAGCUUUGUCUUUCCAAACAGUGAAGGUUUAGUAAAAAUCAGACACUAGAAAAAGACUAAAUUUAACAUUUUAUUUUGUCUCAGAAGGAAUCCACCAAUCGGCCUCAUAUUAAGUUAUGCAUCUUUAAUUAUAAAAAUAAGCAAAGAAAAUAACUCGCAUCUCUCAUUACCAUGAUAUGUUUCAAAUAACCUUUAUAUGAACAUAUGGAGCUUUAAAAAUGUAAUUUAACAAUAAAUAAUGACAUAUACCAGAUAUGCUCACUGUUUAUUCCAGUAAUCAGUCAAAAAAACCAAACCAAACCCCCCUAAGUAUCAUUAAAUUAUAAAUACAUAAUGCAAAUUUAUAAUGGCACAAACAUGUCUAAAGUGCAAACAAAUCACAAUGAGAAUCAUGCAAACGCUUCUAGAUAAGCCCCUCGACCCCCAAGAAAAUCACUUUGCAGUGAGCACAAGACCAAAAAAAAAAAAAAGCAUUAGAGAUUAAAUGGGUGUGACACAGUCAGACUCUACACUGAAAAUCAUUUUUCCCCUACAAAAGUUGUGUGACUGUAUUGCAGUGCUAGUGCUACUGUAGGCCAAGGGGGAAAAAGUGAGACAUUAGGCAUAAACUAAGCAGCUCAACUAUUUAUGUUAAACAGAUUUUCUCUGCAAUGAGUAGUUGCUUGGGGGGAGGAGGUAAAGCCACUAGAUGAGAUUUAUCCCGGCUUGAAACCACAGUAGUAGGGUUGCUCAGGAAAAGGACCCAACCCCCUGUCCUCCCCAGGUGAAAAACUGAUAAGAAUUGAUUGGAAAACCAAAUUUUUUUUGACAAUCAAAAUGUUAAGUUUUUUCCUUAAGGCUAUUUAAAUGCCCAAGCAGUGUUUAUACAAAUAGUUGGAAAAUGGCUUGACAGCUUUUUCCAACAACAAAAUGUUCAGAGGGAAAAAGUGUUUGACCUGCUUCGCAAGGUGAGUUUUACUGGUUGAAAUAGCUGCUUUGCACUCUGUAUGUAAAGGGACCGCAGCGCCAGUGCAUUUAUACUGGUAGCUCUAUUUGGAGCAAAUCCCCAGUCUAGACACGCCCCUAUGUAACUGUGUAGUGUACUUGAUACCCAAACUCUGGUAGACUUCCUGUUUUAAUGCCCCUUUCCUAAUGGUACCUCUCAAAGUGCUGAGCACCUGCACCUGGUAAAAUCAAGCCCUUGCUACUUGAGCACCCGUAAUUCCCACUGGAAAGCAUGCAGCACCUUGUAGGAUUGCAUCCUCCUUAAAUUGGAUUCCAGUAUACCUGACAGUGUUAAGAAUGAACGACAAUGUUGCACCUAGCUUGAACGGGACUGCACAAUUCAGAGUAUAUCUAUAUAUAUUAAAAAAAAAAAUCACUGUCAGCAACAUUUUUUGCUGCUUACAAUUUUACAACAGCACUUUGGGGCUAUGUUUAAUGAAGACAGCAAUUCUGGAAAUGCUGCCACUACAUCUGGUUUUAAUAUAUUAGCAGCAAGUCAUUGUUUAAAGGCUUUGUGGUUAAAAAGUUCUAUUGCUUUGUAUUCUGCAAAAAGAGAUGUCCCUCCUGUUAGCCUUUUACAGAACUUGAUUAGCUUCUUAACGAGCCGAACCAGAAUCAGCUACCCCCCAGACCUAGUUUCCAAGGGGGUAGAUUUUGGAAUCAAUCCUGCUGCUCACAAGCCACAACACAAGGUUGCUUUUUCUGGCGUACAGAACCCAAGCCAGACUCCUGUUCAGAAAGGCUGCUCCUGUGGAGGCCUUCAGCUAGGAGUGCCAAAAAAACCAACUUGUAAGCCUCGUUCAGAUCUUGUUGUCCAGAAGAGCAUCGUAGGAAACGCAGGCUUGCAACAGACACAGCGAUGCAUGUGUUUUGGAUUGCCCGGCUACCUUUUAGACAUACCCAACAUGGCUCUUUUCCUUGGCCUGGCUCAGACGUGACCCUUCUGAAAGCUGCAGCCGGGAUAUUUAAGAGUUGGUCUGUCAGCCAUUUGACAAUUCCCAGAUUUGCUUUUUAGCAGGACUUCUUAACUUGCAUCCCAGGCAGGACCGUGGUAACCCCUGAAGUAGCUUGGGCAGUCCAAAUCCAGCCUAUCUGUGAGUAUGAAUAGCUACUCACCAGUUCUUUUGUCUGGUCCAAUUCUAAUACGUGGUUAAACAAUUUCUCUCUCUUUCAUUA